rnacentral:rRNA from 1 species
AUGAACGCUGGCGGCGUGCCUCAUACCUGCAAGUCGCGCGAACAGACGAGGAGCUUGCUCCUCUGACGUUAGCGGCGGACGGGUUAGUAACCCGUGGAUAACCUACCUAUAAGACUGGGAUAACUUCGGGAAACCGGAGCUAAUACCGGAUAAUAUAUUUAACCGCAUGGUUCAAUAGUGAAAGACGGUUUUGCUGUCACUUAUAGAUGGAUCCGCGCCGCAUUAGCUAGUUGGUAAGGUAACGGCUUACCAAGGCAACGAUGCGUAGCCGACCUGAGAGGGGGGGAGGCAACAGUGGAAGUGAGACAAGAGCAAGAGUACUAAGGGAGGACGAAGGAGGGAAGAGUCAGAAAUGGGAGAAAGGAUGAAGGAGAAAUGAGGAGGGAGGAAAGAAGGUAUUAGGAUCUUAAAACUCUGUUAGUAGGGAAGAAAAAAUGUGUAAGGAACUAUGCACGGCUUGACGGUACAUAAUAAGAAAGCCACGGCUAACCAAGUG